rnacentral:lncRNA from 1 species
CAAGUUUCAUAAAAGAAAACCUUCACUUUCCCAAUUCUAAAGCAAAUGCUUUUGCAAAAUCAUUGACUAAUGCAUUGAAACAUGUCGUAUUUUGCAGUUCUUGUCUGGUGGGCAAUCUGAGGUUGAGGCAACCCUCAACUUGAACGCCAUGAACCAAGGUCCCAACCCAUGGCACGUAUCUUUCUCUUAUGCCAGAGCUCUCCAAAACACCUGCCUGAAGACAUGGGGUGGCAGGCCAGAGAAUGUCAAGGCAGCUCAGGAUACUCUGCUCACCCGUGCCAAGGCCAACUCACUUGCUCAGCUCGGCAAGUACACUGGCGAGGGAGAAUCAGAGGAGGCCAAGAAAGGAAUGUUCGUCAAGGGCUACGUCUACUAAAUUUGUUAGCACGAAG